UACGUAUGGUGCAAGCGUUAUCCGGAUUUACUGGGUGUAAAGGGAGCGCAGGCGGCGCGGCAAGUCCGACGUGAAAACCCCCGGCUCAACCGGGGGACUGCAUUGGAAACUACCGGGCUGGAGUGCCGGAGAGGUAGGCGGAAUUCCUGGUGUAGCGGUGAAAUGCGUAGAUAUCAGGAGGAACACCAGUGGCGAAGGCGGCCUACUGGACGGUGACUGACGCUGAGGCUCGAAAGCGUGGGGAGCAAACAGG
rnacentral:rRNA from 1 species